CGGGGAGAUGAUGACUCAACUUGACAAAGACACUGAUGGUUGAAAUUACUUCCCCAAGAUUAACGUGCUUUCUGAUGACUGUGAUGUUUCAAGUACACCUUACAGACAGAUACGAAGCAGACAUCG